rnacentral:rRNA from 1 species
AUUGAACGCUGGCGGCAUGCUUUACACAUGCAAGUCGAACGGUAACAGGGAGCUUGCUCCGCUGACGAGUGGCGAACGGGUGAGUAAUGCGUCGGAACGUGCCGAGUAGUGGGGGAUGACGCAUCGAAAGGUGUGCUAAUACCGCAUACGUACUGAGGUAGAAAGUGGGGGACCUUCGGGCCUCACGCUAUUCGAGCGGCCGACGUCUGAUUAGCUAGUCGGUGAGGUAAAGGCUCACCAAGGCGACGAUCAGUAGCGGGUCUGAGAGGAUGAUCCGCCACACUGGGACUGAGACACGGCCCAGACUCCUACGGGAGGCAGCAGUGGGGAAUUUUGGACAAUGGGCGCAAGCCUGAUCCAGCCAUGCCGCGUGUGUGAAGAAGGUCUUCGGAUUGUAAAGCACUUUAAGUUGGGAGGAAGGGUUGUAGACUAAUACUCUGCAAUUUUGACGUUACCGACAGAAUAAGCACCGGCUAACUCUGUGCCAGCCGCCGCAGUAACAC